rnacentral:misc_RNA from 1 species
GAUGAAGCACGUAGUGAAAUGCGAUACGUAAUGUGAAUUGCAGAAUUCAGUGAAUCAUCGAAUCUUUGAACGCAUAUUGCGCUCUCUGGUAUUCCGGAGAGCAUGCUUGUUUGAGUAUCAGUAAACACCUCAACUUCCAUAUCUUUUUUGAAAUGGGAGUUGGACUUGAGUGAUCCCAACGCUUUUCCUCACCGAAAAGUGGCGGGUUACUUGAAAUGCAGGUGCAGCUGGACUUUUCUCUGAGCUAUAAGCAUAUCUAUUUAGUCUGCCUAAAAAACAGAUUAUUACCUUUGCUGCAGCUAACAUAAAGGAGAUUAGUUCUUGUGCUGACUGAUGCAGGAUUCACAAAGACGGCUUCGGCCGACUUUGUAAACUCGAUCUCAAAUCAAGUAAGACUACCCGCUGAACUUAAGCAUAUCAAUAAGCGGAGGA